GCCUCUUUAGCUCAGUUGGUAGAGCAGUUCACUCGUAAUGAACAGGUCGCCGGUUCGAGCCCGGUGAGAGGCU
rnacentral:tRNA from 1 species